CCCCUUCUCUCCCUCCUCCCUCUCUCUUCUCUUCUCCUCUCUUUUUCCUUUCCCUUUCAUGCUAUCCCUCUCAGCCCGCUAUUGUUGUCGUGGCUGCGAGCUGGCAGCCUGCACUCCUUGUGGGCUGGGCGGACGGCCUGGGAGCCGCGAGCUGGGCCGGGGCCGCUGCUGCGUCCGCCUCCGCCACGACCCGGAGCCCCGUUGCUAGGAGGCUUCAGAACUGACUGCGGCAUGGAGUAGCUGGCUCCCCCAUUUCCCCACGAGUCCCGGGGUCUCUCCUCAUCCUGAACCCGCUGACUGAAAGGAGGGCAACUGCAUUGAUCGUCAGCCUGCCAGGGAUGGUGGACAUUUCCCCAGAUGGUCCCUCAUCAGAUGUGUGGCUUCCUCCCUGAACUUUCUGGCCAUCAGGGAUGGAUGUGUGUCAGUGGUCAAUGUGCUGCGAGCCCUGGAAAGAGAAGGAGCAAGGAGAAGAAAGGACGUUAGUCCUGGAAGGAGGCAGCAGCGGGAGGAGGGACGCCACCUGGGCAAUGCUGUCUGGCCUGCUGAACGUGCGGUGCUGGCCCCGUUUUAGGGAUGGGAAAACUGAGGCCAAAAGAGGCGGUCCCACUGCCCAGCCUGAGAAGAUGGAGCGGGCCCAGCAGAGAAGCUCAUGGGAUCAGAGAAGGAAACUGAGGCCCAGGAUGGUCACAGCUCAUGGUCUGAGGUUCCGGUGGCUCCGGUGCAGACCCUGGCUGGGCCCUGUCGUGGGUAGAGGCAGGGCCAGUGAGGAGGAAGAUGGGCUGUCCAUCCAUCAGUCAGUCCAUCCAGCAGCGGGCACUUACUAAGCACCAGCUCUGGCUCGCGAGGACCUGGGGAUGUGAGACAGGAGGAGGGCCUCCCUGCCCUCUGGGAGUUCCUGUCUAUCCCAGGAGGCAGCGUCUACACAGCCCUUCUGCACAGAAUACUCUGCCUCCCAAAGCAACAACUGUCAUUUUGUGACAGAUGAGGAAACCGAGGCCCUGGAGAGGUGCUUUGUCUAAUGCCGCCUCCUCUCCCUUGACUUAUGGUGUCUCACUGUAACUUGGAGCAUGUCCACACCCAUUUCUGCGCCUCAGUUUCCUCGCCCGUAAAAUGAGGGGGUUAGCCUGGAUGAGAUUUGUGGUUCCUUUCCUGCUCUGGCAUUCGAUGUCUCCAUGAUUCUAAGCUUAUUGGGAAAAGUGAUGAAAUGGGGCCAGUUUCAGUCUCCUGGCGCAGGCCUGACUCCAUCAGUUUGGAAUUUCAGGUGUGGCCCCUGGGUGGGGGAUGCCCCCCCCCCCACCCGUGGGAGAGGGGGUAGAGCCUGAAGGGUAGCCGACACCCUGUCCCGACUGGGAGCUGGUGGUGCGCCCACCUCAAGUGAAGUCUUCCCUAAGCCCUCUGCCGGGGAAGGGUCUUGCCCUCAGCUUGCUCUCUCUAGGGCCACCUGGUGCAUGUGUGGAGGACGGGGUGUUUGGGAUGCUGGUCCCCGAGCCUGUGAGACCAGGAUGGCAGCCACGGUGCCCGGUCCCCAGGACAAGCCUUCCCAAGCCCACACCAGCUGCCAGACAGCUUGCUUUGGUCAGGGCAUCUGGGGCCAUUGGCAGAGGGCACUCCCAGUGAGGAAGCUCCCUCUACCACAGCAGAUCUUUGGAAAAACUAGAUUUUUGUUGAUGUCUCUGGUUUUUACAUCCCCUAGGUUCCCCUUUUUCCUUCCUCCUCCCCUCCUCCCCAGCCAUCCCUUAUAGCAAAGAAUUUUAAAAAAACAAGAGGAAGAGAAAAAUUUAGUCAAACCGAUGGACACAUUGAAGAAAUCUGCUGUUCCCUGUGACGUUGCCAUGCAGGGCCCUAGCCCCUGCCCAGGAGAGAGCACCAGAGUGCUUCUGCCACUGAGUGCCUAGGACACAGAGAGGUCCAGUGACUUACCCAGGAUCACCCAGCCUGACUACUCAAGGAGUGAGGUUUUCAGCAGUCCUUUCCCUUGGCGCAGUGGAACCCAGACCAUGGCACACACCAGAAAUAUUUCAAGCCUGCUGCCAUCCCAAGUAAACACCUAUGUUGCCCAGGAGUGACAGAGUAAACAGGUAACCAAGGAACAAGGAGGAUCUUAGGUGGGGCCGAUGGGCUGUUACCCUCUAGAGGCAAAGUAAAUCUUGCCUUGCCGUGGCCGCCACCACCGUGACAUAAGUGACCUGGGCUGCCCCCCCAUGCUACUUUUCAUUUAAUGAGCCCCUCCCCCAGAGGCUGUGGACCCGACUACAGCAUCCUAAAGGAGUUAGACAAGGAGGUAUCAGUAGCAGACCUCAUUCAUUCAUUUGUUCAUUUUUUCAUUCAUCCUGUAUCAUCAUCUGUGUGUUAGACACAGGAGAGAUAAUGGCAGUGUGGGUCCCCAGCCACGAGCAGUUAAACACCAAGGCCACUCUGGCCACAGUGACCGUGUGCGUCUGGAGCCGCUCAGCACAGCUUGGGCAAAGCUGAGAGCGGCUCUGACGUAACAACGGUGUUAGGGGCAAAUGCCUGGUAGUGAACUUCUUAGCACAAGUGGAUCCGAGGAAGACUCCAGUCACAGGCCAGAAAGGACAAUAUUGUACAUGGAGGUGCUGCUGCUGCUGGUGACUGUUUAUCCCUAGGUCUUGGAUUUCAUUAGGGAAAGUAGCUGCCACUUGUCUGUCCUUUAUAGACCUGGAUAAGGGAGGCAAUUAGAGGGGUGAGCUCCUUGUGUUCACAAACCCAGUAGGUGCUGGGCAGGUCCCUGCGAUUCCAAAGCCAGUGCGCUGCCCACUAGGCCACAGUGGAUUAUGGUUCAGUCUUCCCCCCUCCAUGAUCACGAAUCCCAUCUGUGGACCUCCUUAGAACUGACAGUGCCAGAGCUGGGAGGGGCCUUAGAACGUGGGCUGUCGGGGCCAGGAGGGCCUGAAAGGUCAUUGAG